rnacentral:rRNA from 1 species
UACGGGGGGAGCAAGCGUUGUUCGGAUUUACUGGGCGUAAAGGGCGCGUAGGCGGCCAGCACAAGUCAGUUGUGAAAUCUCCGAGCUUAACUCGGAACGGUCAACUGAUACUGUGCGGCUAGAGUGCGGAAGGGGCAACUGGAAUUCUUGGUGUAGAGGUGAAAUUCGUAGAUAUCGGGAGGAACACCAGUGGCGAAGGCGGCGACCUGGGCAGAUACUGACGCUGAGGUGCGAAAGCGUGGGGAGCAAACAGG